rnacentral:sRNA from 1 species
CUCUCGUCAUCCAGUGCUGAAACUUUAGCGCAACAGCUAUCUGCCCAUAUCAAGAAAUGCACAGGAAAAGAGAUCUGUUGCGUUGAUAUAGCACGACACUUCCUGGCGUGGUUAUUUUCACAUCCGGAACUACCGGCUCUCCGAAGGGAGCAGUGAUGAUGAGAGCAUAUCUCCACGAGACCUCAGGAGCAGUCGUUGGCCAUUUUGGCGUCACCGAAAAUGACGUGAUUGUUCACGUUCUCCCUGUUCACCAUGCAAC